rnacentral:rRNA from 1 species
UACGUAGGGUGCAAGCGUUAAUCGGAUUUACUGGGCGUAAAGCGCACGUAGGCGGUUUGUUAAGUCAGGGGUGAAAUCCCGGAGCUCAACUCCGGAACUGCCUUUGAUACUGGCAAGCUAGAGUCCGGAAGAGGUAAGUGGAACUCCUAGUGUAGAGGUGGAAUUCGUAGAUAUUCGCAAGAACACCAGUGGCGAAGGCGGCUCACUGGCCCGAUACUGACCGCUGAGGCACGAAAGCGUGGGGAGCAAACAGGG